CGGAUUCCAAUAGGCAUAAGAGAGGAAAAUCAAAAGUUUAUUGGAAAAUCUCGUUCUGGGCUUAGUUAUCUGUCAACAAGUGAACUUAUUAUAUUGUCAAAGAGAAGAAGGGAAAUGUAAAUAAGUGUUUUGCGUCGUGGGCCUUUAAGUGCAAGUCAUUUAGAAAAUACUCGGAUUUGCGAGGAACAUUUUAUGUGUGGCACUCCAGCUGACGUAGCGAAUAAGGAUCAUCCUGAUUGGGUGCCUUGUCAAAAAUUAGGUUAUGAAAAAGGAGCCGCUCUAAAAA